rnacentral:tRNA from 1 species
CGCGGGGUAGCGCAGUCCAGUAGCGCGUCGGACUCAUAAUCCGAAGGUCGGAGGUGCGAAUCCUUCCCCCGCUCCCA